rnacentral:rRNA from 1 species
UACGUAGGUGGCAAGCGUUAUCCGGAUUCAUUGGGCGUAAAGAGAACGCAGGCGGUCUUUUAAGUCUGAUGUGAAAGCCUUCGGCUUAACCGGAGUAGUGCAUUGGAAACUGGGAGACUUGAGUGCAGAAGAGGAGAGUGGAACUCCAUGUGUAGCGGUGAAAUGCGUAGAUAUAUGGAAGAACACCAGUGGCGAAAGCGGCUCUCUGGUCUGUAACUGUCGCUGAGGUUCGAAAGCGUGGGUAGCAAACAGG